AGCCCCGUAGCCAAGCGGUUAAGGCUGGCCCCUCAUAAGGGUCUCAUCGCCGGUUCGAAUCCGGCCGGGGCCACCA
rnacentral:tRNA from 1 species